rnacentral:rRNA from 1 species
GACGAACGCUGGCGGCGUGCUUAACACAUGCAAGUGGAGCGACGAACCAGGCUUCGGCCUGGGGCAAAGCCGCGAACGGGUGAGUAACACGUGGGUAACGUGCCCCGAUGACCGGGACAACCCGAGGAAACUCGGGGCUAAUACCGGAUGUACUGCACAGUCGCAAGACCGUGCAACAAGGAAGCUUCGGCCUCCGCAUCGGGAGCGGCCCGCGGCCCAUUAGCUUGUUGGUGAGGUAACGGCUCACCAAGGCUGCGAUGGGUAGCUGGUCUGAGAGGACGAUCAGCCACACUGGGACUGAGACACGGCCCAGACUCCUACGGGAGGCAGCAGUGGGGAAUCUUGCGCAAUGCGCGAAAGCGUGACGCAG